GGCCCCUCAUUAGGCUGUGCAGUCUGUGCCCCUCAUUUCUCCUCUCUUAAUUCUUUUAGUACCAGCAGCACUUAGUUGGAUUUCUGAAACAGUCCCUACUAAGUAUUUGGUUUCCCUUAAAAUAAAAUUUGCAGGAAACAAAAACAUAACAUUUAAAUGCCCUCCAGUGAUCUAUCUUCUAAAUUACAGUACACAUUAAUUUUUUACAGAACUUUGUCAAGGAGUUUUAUUUUCUCAUAUCACAUUUCAAGAGGCAAGAGAAAAAGAUUUACUAAAAGCACCAUUAUAAAGGUUUGUCAGCAAAAAUAUGCAUUCGAAAGAACUCGCUCCAAAAAUUGCUCCACUCCCUUUUUUAUUCUUAAAGAUUACCAUGAAAUUGAAAUUUUUGAAAUAUUAGUGAACUUGCAUACUACCUUCAGCCAAGUGGGCAGAGCAUCAGAGGCCCAACACAUAAAUGGGCUAAAAGCGGAUGUUGAAAAAUCACAUUUCAAAUCAGGAGAGGAUCAGGAAAGGGGAAAAUAAAACAAAAACACCUAAAAAGAUACAUAUAAAAAAAAACCUAAAACAAGCAAGAAAACUAAUCCUAAUUGCUAAUGGAAUACAGGAAAAUAAGACCAUUGAAGCAGAUUUAAUUGACUUUCCACAAGUGACACCUCAAAGCAAGUAAGCAAAUCUCGAUGGCUGAGGAAUUUAAGGGCAUGUCAGACAGCCAUCUGUCAAGGAUAAAGCAGGACCUAGAAGAACAGGUCCUGCCUUCAGGCAAGGGAUGGACAAACUGACCUCUCCCUCUCCUUCCUAACCUCAUUUUCUCUGUGAAAUUGGAAUAUGUAACACUUUACCAAAUCUCUAGACUAGUAACAGGUUGGAACACAGGAAACUGAUAAAGCUUCUUCUGAGCCACAUGAUACAGCAGGUUUUGCUUCUGAAUUUCAGUACAGUGUGUCUUUUGUAGACUAAUAAAGAUCUGGAUAGGAAGUAGGGGAAGCAAGGUUAAUUUUUAAGCCCAAGAUCUCUGCAAGCAUCCUUUUCUGUUGGAGUUACCCUGUUUCCAAGCCAAAUGCAGCAAUUCACAUUAAGCUCCAGGGUAAACUGCAAAGCACAUCCAAGAAAAGGCAACUGGGCCUGAGUGGGCUGGGGAGAAAGCAGCACACAGAGCAGCAAUUAGGAACCUAAACCUAGACAAACCUAGACAAAAUUAUUUUAAAUUCUAGCCUAAGCCAGUAACUGUUUUCACCACUGAGAGUUAUUUUUUAAAAUUUCCUGAAGGAUCUUUUAAAACCCUAAUCCAUGAAAUCCUGGGAUGUUUUAGGUUGAGCAAUCAUGUACUUAAUUCCAGCAAACUGAAAGUGAAUGAAGUGAAACAUCUGAUCACAUCCAGUGCCACAUUUGAUGUAUCAGAGCUGUGUCAAAGUUACAUAUGGAUGACCAUAUUGCCCUGACUAAUCUAAAAACCUACUGGGGUUUGUUUCACACACUGAAAAAUAUAAAAACAAACUUAGGAAAAAGAUGCCAUGAGGGAACCGUUUUUGUUUUCCAUUCACUGCACAUGCAUUUUUACAAAGACACCACAUGGUAAAUGGAUAAGAACAAUUUUCCAUCAUUAAGGAAGCCUUAAACAACCCCUGACUGCUAAUACCAUCAUCUCUUAGGCUUCUACUAAAUUGCAGUUAUUUGUUCAAAACAAAACGAUGAAGCCUGUGAUAUAAUAGAGCAAUUUAAGCAAUGAAGAAUACAACACCUGUAAUUCAAUUUCAUGGCAACUGCUUUCACAACAUGUUUCUAUAACACAGUUAGGAUAUAGGAAACUUCUCUCACUGCAGCAAUUCCUUUUUAAGUAAGCCAGGCUCUCAAGAGAGAAGUGGGCUUUAAGUAGACAAAUACUAUAAACAAUAAGCAAUUUGUAUCCCAUGCCAAUCCUUUCAGGUCUAUCUUCAGUUAGUUGCCACUCUUGAAUUUUGGUUUCUAUUUCAUAUUGAGAGGCUGUUGUCAGAAAAGGUAACAAUAAAAGUCACCCAUGAUCUCUAACCUUGAGAAAGUUUUCAGGCAGAGGAACAUACAAGAGCUUCCCUUCCCAUCCAUCUUUGCUGUAACAGUCACCAUAUACCAAAAAGGGCUGUAAAUCCCAGGCAUAUGACCUUCCCAAGGAGCCAAGGAGGGAGCAGGGGGAAGAUGGGGAUAUCAAUAAUGACUAGUCAGUGCAGGAAGUACAGCAAGCACAUUGUCCCAAGAGGAGAAAUCUCGUAUUAACUCAAAACCUCACAGCUGAACUGCAUCCAACAGCAAAUCUUUCUCAUCCUUCACAGCAAAUGAUGAGGCCACUUGCUAUCCUGUCAGAAAAUUCUUCAGAGUACAAAUUCAUGCAGAUAUCAAAAUCGAAGUUUUCAAGGAGUAACAUCGAUGUUCUCCUUCAUUUAGUAUUGAAUCAUGCCUCCAUGUUCACUUUAUAGACUGAAAUUAGAAAGGAAUCAUACACCAAAUUAGGGAUUUCCUUCUGGGUUUGAUGGCUGGAACAAAUACUAGAGCAAUUGUUUCAGGAAGUCUGUGCAAUGGCAUAGAACAGCCCUGAAGAUUAAAACCUUUCCAUCUUUCCUCCCCAUCUUUCUGUUCCUCAUAAGCCUCCUCCCCCUGCACAGGGACAAGGAUUUGGGCAGAGAUGUGGAUGGAGGUGCUGUGCCAGCCUGAAGUGCCUGCAGCACUGAAAGCUGUCAGUGCAGAACACAAUGGGAUUCCCCACCAAAAAAAAGGCAAGACACUUGCCAUGGAGUAGAUCUGGUGGAAAAGAUCAAGGGCACCCACCUCUAACCUUCAUGAAAUGGAUGUGCAACAAGGACACAGUUGUGUCUCAGUGAUUGUAGGCUGAAAAACGCUCCUCUGUUCAAGAUAAAAAGAAAUAUUCCUACUGAUGCAAUGUGUAUCUGGUCAUAAAUCACUCCCUGUCAAUCAGCUCUGCUUGAACCUCAGAUCAGCAGGACAAGAAAUCCACCUCAAGUCCCAUUCUAUGCUAUCCUCUCUACCCUUAAAGCACAAAACCAGCAUAAUCAAAAUGGUUUAGCAGCUCCUGCUGCAUUUCCUGUCUGUUCAUACUUUUAUUUUCUUUCAUUUUAAACAGAAAAGCUGCUGCUUGGAGCAUGAACCAUUCAAUUCUGCAAUUCUUCAUCAACAACCAUUCUACCUACACUGAUACUCCCACCAUGAAAGGAAAACAGAUAAAAUCACCUGAACUCAGAGUAUUAGUAUUAGGAAACCCAUAUAAGAAUGGCUCUUUGGUUCUCCCUGCUUAAUUUCUGCAUUGCAAGGCAUCAAAAUAGGUUGAUAGGCUGAAAAUACAAGAAGAUCCCAAUCUCUCCAUCCACUUCAAGAAAACAUUGAGAUAAUGAAAGGUGUUGUACUGACCUCUAUAAUUAGGAAGCAAAAAAUUAAGCACCUCUUUAUUUAGAUUAGCUACCCACAAGGAAAUAAUUUCUGGAAGUGUACACAUAGAAAAUAAGAGUCAACUGAACUAAUUUCAUCCCCUCUAACCCUUGUUUUGGUUGCUUCCACAUGCUGCAUCUGGUUGUGUAUCAAAGGUUCAGCAGGGCUGUUCUUUAAACUCAACAGGAGACCCGUAGCUCUUUUUGUCUGAAAAUAUUCAAUCUGUACUCAUCAGUGACUUCUUCCCAUACACCAUUAAUUAGCUCUGCAUGCUGCCUGCCAUUAGAAACAUGAAGAAAACUCCAAAUGAACAUGUGCACUGCUCCUAACAAAAUGAGACUGACACAAGUGGCACCUUUCUGUACUGUGGAUGCAAAAUACAAAUCAGGACUAAAAUUGGGUGUUUUGGGGAGGAAAAUGUGACUUCACAGAGGUAAAACUGCAAGUUACAACAGCACACCUGAUUUUUAAAUAAUUUUGGUAAUAAAACACAUGUUUUUAAGAGUGUCAGAGUGGAAAAAUGGAGUGUGAUGUUCAUUGGGAACUCAGGAGGAAACUGGAGUCCAUUCUCUGUUCUACUUAAGAACAGAGGCUCAUCACACAUUUACCCACCUGCAGGGGUCACAGAACCACAGAAUGGGCUUGGUUGGAAGGGACCUUAAAGAUAUUUGGUUCUGACCCCCCCCUGCCAUGCACAGGGACACCUUCCUCCAGACCAGGUUUCUCAGAGCUCCAUCCAAAGUGAUUAUUGAGGAGUUGGUGGAGAAAAACCACCCUGUCUAGUGUACAUUUCAUUAUAUCUUAAGACAGAAGUAAAAGAUAAAGAAUUCCACUGCAUAGAGGUGCCUUUAUUUUCAAUGUU
rnacentral:lncRNA from 1 species